CACGCCGUAACGAUGAUCACUCGCUGUUGGCGAUACACAGUCAGCGGCUAAGCAAAAGCAUUAAGUGAUCCACCUGGGGAGUACGGCCGCAAGGCUGAAACUCAAAGGAAUUGACGGGGGCCCGCACAAGCGGAGGAACAUGUGGUUUAAUUCGAUGAUACGCGAGGAACCUUACCUGGGCUUAAAUGUAGAGUGCAUGAGGUAGAAAUACUUCUUCCCUUCGGGGCUCUUUGCAAGGUGCUGCAUGGUUGUCGUCAGCUCGUGCCGUGAGGUGUCGGGUUAAGUCCCAUAACGAGCGCAACCCUUAUCGUUAGUUACCAGCGGGUCAUGCCGGGAACUCUAACGAAACUGCCGGUGUAAACCGU
rnacentral:rRNA from 1 species